AGAUUUACCUGGCAGUAGGAAUACUACAGUCAAGAAGGUGGUUUCCCCAGGGCGAGGCUCUUCCAUUGCACACUUCAGUUGGGUUGACCCCUGUGAUUUCCCUAAAUGUGGGAAACUCAACUGCAUCAUUAAUUUCUUAGGCCUUUCUGAAGGGAGCCUUC